GACGAACGCUGGCGGCGUGCCUAAUACAUGCAAGUCGAACGCUUUUUCUUUCACCGGAGCUUGCUCCACCGAAAGAAAAAGAGUGGCGAACGGGUGAGUAACACGUGGGUAACCUGCCCAUCAGAAGGGGAUAACACUUGGAAACAGGUGCUAAUACCGUAUAACACUAUUUUCCGCAUGGCAGAAAGUUGAAAGGCGCUUUUGCGUCACUGAUGGAUGGACCCGGGGUGCAUUAGCUAGUUGGUGAGGUAACGGCUCACCAAGGCCACGAUGCAUAGCGGACCGGAGAGGUUGAUCGGCCACGCUGGGACUGGGACACGGCCCAGACUCCUGCGGGAGGUAGCAGUAGGGAAUCUUCGGCAAUGGACGAAAGUCUGACCGAGCAACGCCGCGUGAGUGAAGAAGGUUUUCGGAUCGUAAAACUCUGUUGUUAGAGAAGAACAAGGAUGAGAGUAAAACGUUCAUCCCUUGACGGUAUCCAACCAGAAAGCCACGGCUAACUACGUGCCAGCCGCCGCCGUAA
rnacentral:rRNA from 1 species